GGUCGGAGCUUUGUAGCUUUUCAGGUGACUAACUUUAACUAACUUUAGUGAAAUAAGUAUAUCCAUCAUCCAGUUUAGUGGAGAAGCAUUGGCAGGUCCAGUCAAUAGGCUUGCGAUACUCGCCCUAAUGUAUCAAUGCUGCACAACCAGAAGAUGAACCUCCAGACAUCCUCGUACGAUCCACUGGAUUAAGCACAGGUCCAGUUGCAGACGUAAAACUCGCACCACUGCGACAAAAGUUCUCGCAUGUUGCUUUACCAAGAAUGCGUCCACCUUGAUCGAGUACACGAAUAAUGACUGUUGCAUCUAUAUCGGGGAUAAAACCUUCAAGUGUCCGCGAUCCGUUCAUCAUUGGUAUGCCCGCUACAGGAAUGUUAUCUUUGAUGGCCACUGUUUUUCCCUGGAGUUUUCCAUUUCUUGAACCGGAAAUAUCACAUCUCCAAUACCUCAAUUCGAAGGAAUAGGAACGUCACACAUGCGUCAAGGAGUCACUAUGUGACUUCGCAUGCUGUAUGAAACACUCAAGUACAAGAAGAAGGCAAAUACCGGAGAAGUCUUCUAACAGGUGGCAUAACGGAGGUAUCCACAUAAUCAUCUGCUAGCUACCUGCACACUUAUGUAGGUGAACACAAUGGAGGUUCCACAUAAUCAUCUGCUAGCUACCUGCACACUUAUGUAGGUGUAUUUACAUAAUCAUCUGCUAGCUACCUGCACACUUAUGUAGGUGAACAUAAUGGAGGUAUUUACAUAAUCUGCUAGUUACCUGCACACUUAUGUAGGUGAACAUAAUGGAGGUAUUUACAUAAUCAUCUGCUAGCUACCUGCACACUUAUGUAGGUGAACACAGUCGCUUCCUACUCAUAGUUUGUUUUAAAGCCUGUUAUAUACCUACCAGGCGUUCAAUGGAUUCUACUGGGCAGUCGGGCGGUAACCUUGGGUGCGAGGGUAUUUUACUGGUAGCUUAGGAUCUGGCAAAUCGUGCAACCUUUGAUAUGUAGUCUCGAGUGACUUCGUUAUUACAUCUGGAUAAAAGCAAUGGGAAUGAAAAAAAAAAAAAGAAUGUUUCCAGAAAAUGAUGUAGUAUUCCUACAGCGCUCAGAGAAUAAACGUUGGUAUUUGGGAGCUUGAAAGUCUUUCAUCCCGUAUUUACUCAUGCUAUUUUGUGGAGCUGGGAGAACUCCAUAAACCACCAAACUUGGUGCGCUGUGUCAUCCCUGAAGGCUUCGUCUACGAAAACAAUGUGCUUCAGGCAUGUUUUAGGGAGUUGCGCACUCUUUUUGCCAGCGUGACUGCACUGAUCUCCAAUGUAAAUAAGAUGCUCUUCUUUUUUCAUUAGCGAUGUAAAUGACGCUUUCAAUAGGUUUACGUGUGUGGAUGAAUAAUAUUAGUGAAUACAAACCUUGAAAUUCCUUAAGUUCUCCAUCGGACAAAUCCAGGCUGAGGCUGUGAGCUAUCUCAUUGAGACGGACCAGACUAGGUGGACGAACUGCAGGGUGUUGGUACGUUUCUUCUACGAGUUAACAAACACAUUGAUGGAUGACUCUCUAGAACUGAUGCACCUAAUAAUCAUGAAAUCAUGGGCCAAAAAUAGUGCUGGUACGUUUCUUUUGCAAAACAACAACCAUGUAUUUAUCCAGCUUCUAGUUGUGUGCAUAGUAAUCUCAGAGCAACAAAAAUUAAUAUUAAUAAAAUGCCAAGCUCGACAAGACACACAUGAUAUGAAGAAUAUCUGCGGUUCCAGUUUGCUUGAUAGCCCACUUUCGAGUUAUGCUAAUGUCUUGUCAUGCACACGCAGAGGUUUCAGUACAAGGCUACGUGCUAAUUUACAGCUUUAUGAUCACCAAAUGAGCACAUGUCAAAGAAAAAAAGUAAAAAGGCAAGAACCAAGAGUAAAAUUGGAAGUUCGGUUACUCAAUAUUUUGCGCGUGGAAUUUUGGUCUUGUUUACUUUUGAGAUCGUUUUGUAUCGUUGUGUUAACUUUAUUGAUGAAUAAAAGAAUACAAAAAAGAAAAACUAUAUAACCUGCAUAUAGCUAAAGCUAGUCUAGGCAGGUUAAAUUCACAGAAUAUACACGUAGAUUUACAAAGAUGUCUUUAUAUGUUAAUAAUAAAUAAAUGUUAAUAUCAGAGUACAAAGAGCUGAAUAGGAAAUGAAAAGUAGUUCACUGAGUAGAAAAUGAAAAAUAGCUCAUUACAGAUAGACUUACUUAAAAAGUUUGAAGAUCUCAGUAUCAUAGCGAUUAAUAUUAAGAUCGUUUAAUAAAACGGUUUUGAUUUCC